rnacentral:rRNA from 1 species
UACGUAGGGCGCGAGCGUUGUCCGGAUUUAUUGGGCGUAAAGAGCUCGUAGGCGGUCUGUCGCGUCGGCUGUGAAACCCCGAGGCUCAACCUCGGGCCUGCAGUCGAUACGGGCAGACUAGAGUGUGGUAGGGGAGACUGGAAUUCCUGGUGUAGCGGUGAAAUGCGCAGAUAUCAGGAGGAACACCGGUGGCGAAGGCGGGUCUCUGGGCCAUAACUGACGCUGAGGAGCGAAAGCGUGGGGAGCAAACAGG